GAUGAACGCUGGCGGCGUGCUUAACACAUGCAAGUCGAACGAGAAGUGGAGACGGAAACCUUCGGGCGGAAGACUUUAUUUCGAGUUGCGGACGGGUGAGUAACGCGUGGGUAACCUGCCUCAUUCAGGGGGAUAACAGUUGGAAACGACAGUUAAUACCGCAUAAGACCACAGCAUCGCAUGGUGCGGGGGUAAAAACUCCGGUGGUAUGAGAUGGACCCGCGGUCGAUUAGCCAGCUGGCGGGGUAACGGCCCACCAAAGCGACGAUCGAUAGCCGAUCUGAGAGGAUGACCGGCCACAUUGGGACUGAGGCACAGCCCAAAAUCCUACGCAAGGCAGCAGUGGGGAAUAUUGCACGAUGGGGGAAACCCUGAUGCAGCGACGCCGCGUGAGUGAAGAAGUAUUUCGGUAUGUAAAGCUCUAUCAGCAGGGAAGAAAAUGACGGUACCUGAGUAAGAAGCCCCGGCUAACUACGUG
rnacentral:rRNA from 1 species